UAGUCCACGCUGUAAACGAUGGAUACUAGAUGUCGGAGGCUCUUGCCCUUUCGGUGUCGCAGUUAACGCGUUAAGUAUCCCGCCUGGGGAUUACGGCCGCAAGGCUAAAACUCAAAGAAAUUGACGGGGGCCCGCACAAGCGGUGGAGUAUGUGGUUUAAUUCGAGGCAACGCGAAGAACCUUACCUGGGCUUGACAUCCCGUGCUACCCUGUGAAAGCAGGGGUUCCCUUCGGGGACACGGUGACAGGUGCUGCAUGGCUGUCGUCAGCUCGUGUCGUGAGAUGUUGGGUUAAGUCCCGCAACGAGCGCAACCCUUGCCAUUAGUUGCCAGCAUUAAGUUGGGCACUCUAAUGGGACCGCUUGCCGAUAAGGCAGAGGAAGGUGGGGAUGACGUCAAGUCCGCAUGGCCCUUACGUCCAGGGCUACACACGUACUACAAUGACCCGUACAGAGCGUUGCGAUGCCGCGAGGUGGAGCUAAUCGCAGAAAACGGGUCUCAGUUCGGAUUGG
rnacentral:rRNA from 1 species